rnacentral:rRNA from 1 species
GGUCAAGUUUCUAAGAGCAAACGGUGGAUGCCUUGGCAUCUGGAGCCGAAGAAGGACGUAGAAAUCUGCGAUAAGCCUCGGGGAGCUGAUAAUCGAGCUGUGAGCCGAGGAUUUCCGAAUGGGGAAACCCCGCCAGGCGACUUGUCGACCUGGUGACUCCCGCCUGAAUAUAUAGGGCGGGUAGAGGGAACGUGGGGAAGUGAAACAUCUCAGUACCCACAGGAAGAGAAAACAACAUGUGAUUCCGUGAGUAGUGGCGAGCGAAAGCGGAUGAGGCUAAACCGAUCAUGUGUGAUAGCCGGCGGGCGUUGCAUGGUCGGGGUUGUGGGACACGUCGCUCAGUUCUGCCGGACUGGGACGGUUACAGCGCAUCAUAGUCGAACCGGUUUGAAAGCCGGGCCGUAGUGGGUGCCAGCCCCGUAGACGAAAUGGUGUUAUGGCCGGAUGUGUAUCCCAAGUAGCACGGGGCCCGAGAAAUCCCGUGUGAAUCUGUCAGGACCACCUGAUAAGCCUAAAUACUCCCAGAUGACCGAUAGCGGACAAGUACCGUGAGGGAAAGGUGAAAAGUACCCCGGGAGGGGAGUGAAAUAGUACCUGAAACCGUUUGCUUACAAACCGUCGGAGCCUCCUUGUAGGGGUGACGGCGUGCCUUUUGAAGAAUGAGCCUGCGAGUUAGUGAUAUGUGGCGAGGUUAACCCGUGUGGGGCAGCCGUAGCGAAAGCGAGUCUGAAUAGGGCGAUUCAGUCGCAUGUCCUAGACCCGAAGCGAAGUGAUCUAUCCAUGGCCAGGUUGAAGCGACGGUAAGACGUCGUGGAGGACCGAACCCACUUCAGUUGAAAAUGGAGGGGAUGAGCUGUGGAUAGGGGUGAAAGGCCAAUCAAACUUCGUGAUAGCUGGUUCUCUCCGAAAUGCAUUUAGGUGCAGCGUUGCGUGUUUCUCGCCGGAGGUAGAGCUACUGGAUGGCCGAUGGGCCUCAACAGGUUACUGACGUCAGCCAAACUCCGAAUGCCGGUGAGUGAGAGCGCAGCAGUGAGACGGUGGGGGAUAAGCUUCAUCGUCGAGAGGGAAACAACCCAGACUACCAACUAAGGCCCCUAAGCGUGUGCUAAGUGGGAAAGGAUGUGGAGUUGCACAGACAACCAGGAGGUUGGCUUAGAAGCAGCCACCCUUGAAAGAGUGCGUAAUAGCUCACUGGUCAAGUGAUUCCGCGCCGACAAUGUAACGGGGCUCAAGCACACCGCCGAAGUUGUAGAUUUCGCACACAGACAAGCCUUCGUGGUUCAGUCGUGCGGAGUGGUAGGAGAGCGUCGUGUGGCGAGUGAAGCGGCGGAGUAAUCCAGCCGUGGACGCCACACGAGUGAGAAUGCAGGCAUGAGUAGCGAAAGACGGGUGAGAAACCCGUCCUCCGAAAGACCAAGGGUUCCAGGGCCAGGUUAAUCCGCCCUGGGUAAGUCGGGACCUAAGGCGAGGCCGACAGGCGUAGUCGAUGGACAACGGGUUGAUAUUCCCGUACCGGCGAACAACCGCCCAAGCUAAUCCAGUGGUGCUAAGAGUCCUAACCCGG